CCUACGGGUGGCAGCAGUGAGGAAUAUUGGUCAAUGGACGAGAGUCUGAACCAGCCAAGUAGCGUGAAGGCUGUCUUCCCUCUUUUUUUUCCCCUUCUUUUAUAAAGGAAUAAAAUGAGGCACGUGUGCCUUUUUGCAUGUACUUUAUGAAUAAGGAUCGGCUAACUCCGUGCCAGCAGCCGCGGUAAUACGGAGGAUCCGAGCGUUAUCCGGAUUUAUUGGGUUUAAAGGGAGCGUAGAUGGGUUGUUAAGUCAGUUGUGAAAGUUUGCGGCUCAACCGUAAAAGUGCAAUUGAUACUGGCAGACUUGAGUACAGUGGAGGUAGGCGGAAUUCGUGGUGUAGCAGUGAAGUGCUUAG
rnacentral:rRNA from 1 species